rnacentral:lncRNA from 13 species
AUGCUUGAAGCUGGUGAAAGUGGCAACAGGACUGUGUUAUUCACCAUGAUUACAUCUACCCCUCCUUCUGAUGUUGAUAGGUCUCCUCCACAAAAUCAUGGACCUGAGCUGCUUAGGAAGAGACUGAUCCUUUCAGAAAACCCUUUUCACGUGGACUUAAUGAGGAGCUGGACCAAACUUUUAAGGACAAGAGGCAAUGGACAGAAACUGGAACACAGGAAGUUCCACCUGAAUAUGAGGAAGAACUUCACUCUGUGGGUGACUGAGCACUGGAAUAGAUUGCCCAGAGAGGUUGUGGAUAUCUCACUGGAGAUAUUCAAAAGCUGUCUGGACACAACCCUGAGUAAUGUGUUUGGGGGACCCUGCCUGAGCAGGGAGGUUGGACCAGAUGACCAGCGGUGUUCCCUUCCAACAUUACCCAUCCUGUGAUUCUGUGACUAUGGUACCAGCUGUGCUGCAUUUUGCCAGCACCAGCUGCAUCAUGUAGACAUCCCAACUGCAGACUGACAACUUCUCUGGCCAAAAAAACCCCUACCCUGGUGAUGUGUACCUGGGCUGUGUGAUGUAGCCAUAAAGGUGCCUCGUCAUUAGUGUUUUAUGCAGAUAUUUAGAUUUGCAUGAGCUUCACAAUCGCAUUUGAACCCCUUGAGCUGCUGGGGCACUCACUACUUGCUGUGAGGGGCUGGGGCCCUCAGCAAUUUACAGGGUGGAGCCCGUCAUCUGGCUUUAAAGUAGCUCCUUAUGGAUGUUCUAGACUGAGAGCAGAGGGACAGUGAUGCUUCCCACUGCUUGUACCCAGGGGAAUAAAGGGAAGUGGGAUUAGUGGGAGUUUUCAGAAGCCUCUAACUCACCAGCAGAGCAUAAAUAUCUUCAAGGGUUUGCCCUGAGGUGCUUCUUAAAAAAGCAGCCGGGUUAAAGUGGCUUUGCUAAGUUUGUUCCCAUGAAUAUGAUUUUCCUCAGGCACACUUUUUACAUAUACCUGUGAGAUAAAAGCUACCACACAGUAAAAGAAAAACAACACACAACCCUCUUAAUUAAAGAUAUCAGGGCAAGGAGGCUCCUCAAAAAAAAAAAAAAAAAAAAGGUGAUGUGGUUCUAGUUUGCAGGGCCCUGAGAAAUAAAGCUGCCCAGGAUUGCUAUGGUGCUCCCCCUGGUUCCUGCAUGGAACCUAGGCUCAAUGAAUGUUGGCAACUCAUUGCCCGGUGAUGGCAGGCAUUAGAAAACCCAACUUAAAAGCUGCUUUUAUCGGUCUCUUUUCUGGGGCUGGUCCCUCUGGGUGCACCCUGCCUGCAGCCUUGUAUCUAUCUCCCUGCUUAGGUUAUCUUCCUGCCUAUCCAGCCCAUGCUGGGAUCCCACUGGCCCCAAACCCCCGUGGGCUUUUCCAAACGCAUGAUAC